GCUACGGGUGGCAGCAGUGGGGAAUAUUGCACAAUGGGGGAAACCCUGAUGCAGCGACGCCGCGUGAGUGAAGAAGUCUCUCGGUACGUAAAGCUCUAUCAGCAGGGAAGAUAAUUACGGUACCUGACCAAGACGCCCCGGCCAACUUCGUGCCAGCCGCCGCGGUUAUACGUGGGGGGCAAGGGUUAUCCGGCUUUACUGGGUGUAAAGGGGGCGUAGACGGCAGAACAAGUCUGGAGUGAAAUCCCGGGGCUUAACCCCGGAUCUGCUUUGGAAACUGUGAGGCUGGAGUGCAGGAGGGGUAAGCGGAAUUCCUGGUGUAGCGGUGAAAUGCGUAGAUAUUAGGAGGAACAUCAGUGGCGAAGGCGACUAUCUGGCACAUAACUGACGCUGAGGAGCGAAAGCGUGGGUAGCAAACAGGAUUAGAUACCCUUGUAGUC
rnacentral:rRNA from 1 species